CGGGACGGGUGAGUAACGCGUGGGUAACCUACCCUGUGCACACGGAUAACAUACCGAAAGGUAUGCUAAUACGGGAUAAUAUAUUUGAGAGGCAUCUCUUGAAUAUCAAAGGUGAGCCAGUACAGGAUGGACCCGCGUCUGAUUAGCUAGUUGGUAAGGUAACGGCUUACCAAGGCGACGAUCAGUAGCCGACCUGAGAGGGUGAUCGGCCACAUUGGAACUGAGACACGGUCCAA
rnacentral:rRNA from 1 species